rnacentral:rRNA from 1 species
AAAUAGAACUUUGCAGAGAGAGUUAACAGGGCGUGAAACCGUUAAUUGGCAAACGAAUCGGAGCCACGAAGUCGUUUCGUUGAGUUGAGCUAGGUUCAGCUUAGGAUCCUCGGAUCUUAAGUGCACUCUUAGUGAAACCUUUGUAAGCGUACACUGCAACCAGUUAGACGAUUGGUGAUGGGCCCAGUUGAUACCUUAGUUAGUAGUAGUAUUGUGCGCUUCUGUGUAUUGAUGCUGCUGGGCUAUGGUAAGUGAACUAUCUACCAAAUACUGACUGGCAAAAUGAAAAUCGCCUUGUGCGUAAUAUAAAAUGCUUCAGCUAGUAUAAGUGCUUACAUGCGCAACCAUAGGGUUUUAAGCUCAGCAUUUUUGAAUUUAGACUUGCAUUCUACCAGUGGGGCAACUCCUGGUGCUUGUAUAGCUUCUAUCUAAUCGGGUGUUGACUUGAUCUUAUGUUGUUUGGGUAUGCUACGAUCGAGUACUAAUACAAAGUUGUUUGCAAUUGAUUGGCAGUGAGUAGGUCGGCUUUCCGAACGACCCGUCUUGAAACACGGACCAAGGAGUCUAAUUAGGCAUCAAGUCGAUCAGUCUUGAAUAGGCUAGACUGUGGGGUUUCUCACGAAUGAAGGCGUAGAGACAAUCAUGUGAUCAAUUGGGCAAAACAGCCCUUAUGCGCAACAUGUGCCUGUUCGUAUAGUAAUGUAGCAAUAAUUACUGGGCGGAGCAAAGAGAUGCUUGAUUGGUACCCGAAAGAUGGUGAGCUUGGGCAAAUUGAAGCCAGAGGAAACUCUGGUGGAGGAUUGUAGCGAUUCUGACGUGCAAAUCGAUCGUCAGACCUGAGUAUAGGGGCGAAAGACUAAUCGAACCAUC